rnacentral:rRNA from 1 species
GAGAGUGGGUUAGUCCGCACGAGCGCACCCUACCCUUAUUGCCAUCGGGUUAUGCCGGGCACUUUAGGGGGACUGCCGGUGACAAGCCGGAGGAGGGUGGGGAUGACGUCAAGUCCUCAUGGCCUUUAUGACCAGGGCUACACACGUGUUACAAUGGGAGUUACAGAGGGAAGCUAAACCGCGAGGUCAUGCCAAUCCCAGAAAAACUUUCUCAGUUCGGAUCGCAGUCUGCAACUCGACUGCGUGAAGCUGGAAUCGCUAGUAAUCGCGGAUCAGCACGCCGCGGUGAAUACGUUCCCGGGCCUUGUACACACCGCCCGUCACACCAUGGGAGCCGACAAGGGCAGAAGUCGCCGAGCUAACCUUCGGGAAGCAGGCGCCCAAGCUGUUGUUGACGACUGGGGUGAAGUCGUAACAAGGUAGCCGUAGGAGAACCUGCGGCUGGAUCACCUCCUUUCU